ACGGGGGGUGCAAGCGUUGUUCGGAAUUAUUGGGCGUAAAGAGCGUGUAGGCGGCCUGAUUUGUCAGAUGUGAAAGCCCUGAGCUCAACUCAGGAAGUGCAUUUGAAACUGUCAGGCUCGAGUAGGGGAGAGGGAAGUGGAAUUCCUGGUGUAGAGGUGAAAUUCGUAGAUAUCAGGAGGAACACCGGUGGCGAAGGCGGCUCACUGAAUCGAUACUGACGCUGAGACGCGAGAGCGUGGGUAGCAAACAG
rnacentral:rRNA from 1 species